UCCUACGGGGGGCAGCAGUGAGGAAUAUUGGUCAAUGGGCGGAAGCCUGAACCAGCCAAGUCGCGUGAGGGAAUAAGGCCCUACGGGUCGUAAACCUCUUUUGCCGGGGAGCAAGGGCCGGGACGAGUCCCGGUCCGGAGAGUACCCGGAGAAAAAGCAUCGGCUAACUCCGUGCCAGCAGCCGCGGUAAUACGGAGGAUGCGAGCGUUAUCCGGAUUUAUUGGGUUUAAAGGGUGCGUAGGCGGGCUUUUAAGGCAGCGGUAAAAAUUCGGGGCUCAAACCCGUCCGGCCGUUGGAACUGGGGG
rnacentral:rRNA from 1 species